AAAUUGAAGAGUUUGAUCAUGGCUCAGAUUGAACGCUGGCGGCAGGCCUAACACAUGCAAGUCGAACGGUAGCACAGAGAGCUUGCUCUCGGGUGACGAGUGGCGGACGGGUGAGUAAUGUCUGGGAAACUGCCUGAUGGAGGGGGAUAACUACUGGAAACGGUGGCUAAUACCGCAUAACGUCGAAAGACCAAAGAGGGGGACCUUCGGGCCUCUUGCCAUCAGAUGUGCCCAGAUGGGAUUAGCUAGUUGGUGAGGUAACGGCUCACCAAGGCGACGAUCCCUAGCUGGUCUGAGAGGAUGACCAGCCACACUGGAACUGAGACACGGUCCAGACUCCUACGGGAGGCAGCAGUGGGGAAUAUUGCACAAUGGGCGCAAGCCUGAUGCAGCCAUGCCGCGUGUAUGAAGAAGGCCUUCGGGUUGUAAAGUACUUUCAGCGGGGAGGAAGGUGUUGUGGUUAAUAACCGCAGCAAUUGACGUUACCCGCAGAAGAAGCACCGGCUAACUCCGUGCCAGCAGCCGCGGUAAUACGGAGGGUGCAAGCGUUAAUCGGAAUUACUGGGCGUAAAGCGCACGCAGGCGGUCUGUCAAGUCGGAUGUGAAAUCCCCGGGCUCAACCUGGGAACUGCAUUCGAAACUGGCAGGCUUGAGUCUUGUAGAGGGGGGUAGAAUUCCAGGUGUAGCGGUGAAAUGCGUAGAGAUCUGGAGGAAUACCGGUGGCGAAGGCGGCCCCCUGGACAAAGACUGACGCUCAGGUGCGAAAGCGUGGGGAGCAAACAGGAUUAGAUACCCUGGUAGUCCACGCCGUAAACGAUGUCUACUUGGAGGUUGUGCCCUUGAGGCGUGGCUUCCGGAGCUAACGCGUUAAGUAGACCGCCUGGGGAGUACGGCCGCAAGGUUAAAACUCAAAUGAAUUGACGGGGGCCCGCACAAGCGGUGGAGCAUGUGGUUUAAUUCGAUGCAACGCGAAGAACCUUACCUGGUCUUGACAUCCACAGAAGAAUCCAGAGAUGGAUUUGUGCCUUCGGGAACUGUGAGACAGGUGCUGCAUGGCUGUCGUCAGCUCGUGUUGUGAAAUGUUGGGUUAAGUCCCGCAACGAGCGCAACCCUUAUCCUUUGUUGCCAGCGGUUAGG
rnacentral:rRNA from 2 species